AUAAAAGGAAAUAAAAUAAAAUAAAGAAAAGACAACACCCUCUCUCUCCCUCUCACCCCAUCGUGUGAACCCCCCUUGUGAAAACCCUUGCCGCCGUCACCCUCGCUGGCCGAUUCGCUCGUGCCAGAUCCACCCAGCCGUUCCCAAUUGAUGUCGUGUCAGAUUCCACCUACCCUGAAGCGGACUGUUCGUGCACCAGAUCAGCCACAAGCUCAUCCCCUCCAGCAUGCCGCUUAUUCAGCCGCGCGUCCAUCCGCUCCAGCGCGCCGUUCGUCCAGUCAACACCGGAUCGUUUCGUCCGUUCCGCCCACGCUCUUUGUUCGACGUCCGCUUCCUCCGCCGUCAUUGGGUUUCGCCGGAUCUGGUAGUUUUAGUGGGAUUGUAGGAGAAGCUUGAAGCCAAAAGGGUGCUGUCGAGGAGGGUUGGAACUGGUUUUGUUAAAUUUAUGGGGUCAUUAUUUGGAGUUGCUGGUUUCGUUUGGUGGUCUAAUUUUAUCUGUGGAUUUUUUACUGAGGUAAGGUCAAGGGCAAGGACGUGCUGGCGAAUGACAAAUGGAAUCCUUGACGAGCCACUGGGGAUCAGUCUCUUUAAUUGCUUCCGCUCAUAUUUCAGUAUUUCUUUUAUGUUUUACAUUUUUUAGUUUUGGGAUUUCAGACAAAUGUUUAAGAUUUGUUUUCAUAAAUAUUUAUUUAUGACUAAUGGGUACCCUAUCCAUGGGCUUUAAAUAUUUGAAUUUAAUGCAAACUUUUCAGUUACCUUAUUUAUUUCAAA